GAGUUAUUCCCUUCGUUCUGAAUUACUUGUUUUGAAUUUGUCUAGAUAUAAAUGUAUUUAGACUCAUUUUAAUGCUAGAUACCUCCGUAUCUAGACAAAUCUAAGACAAGUAAUUUGGAACGAGGGGAGUACAUG
rfam:Triticum aestivum genome assembly, contig: Triticum_aestivum_CS42_TGACv1_scaffold_374979_5AL